UUAUUCUUACAAAAUUUAACGGAUACUUAUUUAUUAAUACGUUUUGCCGUUAAAAAUACUUUUUUUUUUCCUCUUUAAAUACCGUAUACACCCGAGUGUACUAUAAGUUUUUUCGUACACGUACAAACAAAUAUAUGAUAACGCUUUGAAAAUUCGAAAAUUCAAAUAUUCAACUUGUUAUCAAGUCUCUUUUUAAAUGAUUAACUUUUGUGUUCAGUUAGCAAUUAGAUGGAUAAAAUUUACAUGUAACAAAACUAUUAAUUGUUUUCGUCUGACUACAUAGGAUCGCCUCUAUAUCUCAGACGCAACCAAUAUCGUCGCACGCUCGCGAUUCUACGCGUACUGAAACUGAAGAACUGAAGUAACGAACUCCUCUCAAUGCUUCGUAAAGAACGUCACCGCCGCUUCUUCUUCCUCCACCGCCACAGCCGUUGCUGCUGCGUCGUCGCAUAGGCAGUGAACCGAUCGCUAUAAAACGUAUAAAACAGAGGAGGGAACCUAGAGGUAGCCGUCACGACGCCUAGCGCCGCGGCACCUGCGGACUACGACGCUAUACCUGAUACCAAUUCCUACCUAAUCAUAACUGUAGCAAACGCUUGCGUCAGGAGGAGACAUACUUUUGUGCGGACACACAAUAAAUAACACAUCAAUAAACAUUGCACGUCACAUUUUUGUGCAUGGAAUAUAAUUGUGCUAUAGCGGUAUAAAACGAUGUACAGAAAAACUGCAGCAUGUACUUGGAAUAAAUUUGUCACCGUCAGCUGGCUAUAGUUCGUUUCAGUAUGAGGGUCUCAGAGGGUACCACAUAACUCUUCAAUCUAGACGGUCCCAAUUUUAACAUACGGCGAAUGGACGUGCAAGAAAAUCUAAUUGUAAGUAAAAGAAAAGGAGGACCGAAAUCAGGCGCAAGUUACAAGAAGUAUAAGCGGCAGGGGCACCGUUCGGUUGGGCCCUCUUACGGACCUCCCGUUGCCCAGGGGCCCAUGGAAGCGAUUCAAUAUGGCAGGUGCGCCCCUCCCUCUUUUUCCUCUUUCUCUCCCUCUUUGCCCCGGACUCCACAUUUCACCUCCUUCGCACUGACCGCCGCGCUGCGAAGUUGCAGCGCACCUUAUUAUAACA
rnacentral:lncRNA from 1 species